GGGGCUGUAGCUCAGUGGUAGAGCAUAUGCUUUGCAUGUAUGAGGCCAUGGGUUCAAGCCCCAGCAUCUCCA